GAUGAACGCUGGCGGCGUGCCUAAUACAUGCAAGUCGAGCGAACAGACGAGGAGCUUGCUCCUCUGACGUUAGCGGCGGACGGGUGAGUAACACGUGUAUAACCUACCUAUAAGACUGGGAUAACUUCGGGAAACCGGAGCUAAUACCGGAUAAUAUAUUGAACCGCAUGGUUCAAUAGUGAAAGACGGUUUUGCUGUCUCUUAUAGAUGGAUCCGCGCCGCAUUAGCUAGUUGGUAAGGUAACGGCUUACCAAGGCAACGAUGCGUAGCCGACCUGAGAGGGUGAUCGGCCACACUGGAACUGAGACACGGUCCAGACUCCUACGGGAGGCAGCAGUAGGGAAUCUUCCGCAAUGGGCGAAAGCUUGACGGAGCAACGCCGCGUGAGUGAUGAAGGUCUUCGGAUCGUAAAACUCUGUUAUUAGGGAAGAAAAAAUGUGUAAGUAACUAUGCACGUCUUGACGGUACCUAAUCAGAAAGCAACGGCUAACUACGUG
rnacentral:rRNA from 1 species